ACUAUCUAAAUCCCCUAAUAUAUAUGUGCAUAUGUAUAUUAUUGCUGUAAAGAAACUGGCUAGGUACAAAAGAUGGGCUCUGUUACUUUACUGGUUUGGCUAAAGUCCUUUCACUUGAUUGAACCUCAGUUUUCUCACCUGUAAAAGGGAUUGAUCAUACCUAUAUUGCUUAUUUCAACAGGUUGUUGGGAGGAUUGAAUAAGGCAAAGAGUUUUGUGAACUGUGACAAGUUCUAUAAAUCAAAGCUAUUAUUGCUUUCAGUGGAAAAAGACUUGGACCAUUACCUUGUUAUUGAAGAGUUCUGUGACCUUGAUGAAAUCAUUUGACCUCUGUAUUAAGAGUUCUUAUAGCCAUCAAAUGAUGGAUACCUACUGGCUUUUUCUGAGAAUGUCAAUGAAACAUUAGAUGCAUCAAGGCUUUGAAAAAUGGAAAGCACCAUAUUAAGGUUAACAUUUUAUUAGCCACUCUUUUCUAUACACAUGAUGAAGAUUGUAGAUUUAAUCUUACAGAAGUAUGAAGAGGGGUGAAUUAAGUGGGAAAAUAACUGGAAUCUAUAUUAGGGAAACUAUGUUGCACCCUUUGGUAUAAACAGUAUCCCUGUCUUCAUAGCAGUUUCCUUUUUUAUGGUGGGAGUUGAAGGAAUAUGAAGACACUUGACAUUUAAGGUUGUUCUUCAAUUAGAGUGGAGAUGCUGAAGAUGUGGUGAUAUUACUUUAUCAUUUCUAUAGCACCCUCAUAGUCUUAUAAAGGUCUUCCAGUCAAAUACAUGGACUCCUUUUCAUUCCAUCCAUACAUUACAAUUUCAGUGUGUAUAGAUAUUCUCUCUGACUUCUGGGACUUUCAAGGAAAUUUGGGUAUUCAUAGAUAUCUUUUACUUACUUUCUGUUAUAUAUAGCUAGGUUCAGUCACUCUAUCUUCCCCUUGUCAGAAGUUAAAACUUCUGACGCGGUACCACACAAGAGCAGAAGAGGUAGCCUCUGGCUGAUUUGUUUUUCAAGGUAAUUGUCAAAAAAGUUGGAAUGAUGUCAGUCAGGAAUAGAAGAAGGAAGAAGCCUUCUCUACCUUAGCAUAAGGAUGGACCAGGAUGGUCUGGUGUCCUUUCUCUCCACUUGGAACAUGGACUCAUUCAGCCCCUGAUUUCUCAGUGUUUUCCUUUAUUCUAGCAUUGAUGUAGUGACUCCCAACAACAAGGGAAACUGUUGUGAUCAAAGCAGCAAGAGCAGGAUUGGGCAAAAUCCUUGCCUCUGGAAAGAAAGCACCUGAGAGGAGAUUCUGCUUGGUGUUUGAUGGAUUGUGCUCAAUGGAGCUGAAAGAAACAACUGGGAUAGAAGCAGUUCCCAUUUUCUUAAAGUAGGAUCACAGUGUUGAAUCUGGAGAGACCUUUCCAACUCCUUCAUUUUUCAGCUGAGCAAAAUGAGAGUGUUGGGGAAAUGUCAAUACAGAAAAUGUGCUGAUUUUAAAAAAGAAAAGGAAAAAAAAUUCUUUGGGAAGAUACACAAGAGCUGAUGCAGAAUGAAGGAAAAAAAAACAAUAGAAAAAGAACAAUAUAAAUUGAAAGAAAAUAAAUUAAACCAAGCUGUGUGAUGAUAAUGACUAAGUCCAAACACCAUCUGAUUAUAAUGACUAAAUGUGGUCCCACGGAAGAGAUAAGAAAAUACACCUUUUUCCUCCCUAGCAUGUAUAGGUGGCUGUGGAUAUGGAACACUGCCAUACUAUAAGAUUUAAUUGAUAUAUAGUUUCUCUUUUCAAUAACAAUUUUUAUUCCCAAAGGGAAUAUGUAAGGAAUGGGAGAUGUUAGAAGUCAUUGGAUCAUAGAUUAGAAUUAAAAGAAACCUGAGGUACAAGAGGAGUAGCUAAUUUGUCUAAAGCCACUCUGGGUAGUAAGGUUUAGAGGUAGGGUGUGAACAUAGGCUCUCUGACUCAAGAGACAGUUUCUUCUGUCCACUGGAGCAUUUUGAAACAAAAAUGAUAUAAAAAGAAAAGAGAAAAAUAAUAAAAGGGAAAACAUUGUUCAUUAUCUUACUAUAUAUGAAUCUCUUUUUACAUGCUUAUCAUUCAAAUUAGUAAAAAUAUUCUUAUGUUUCCCUUCUUAGCUUAAAAAAUGGAAAGGUUACUAAUAAAGACUUGUGGCCACAUCUUGUCCCUAAUCACUUGUCACUUACAAACUUAUUGGAGCUUCCCUAGAAGUGUUCAUGUGGAAUAAUACCAUGACAUGAAUUUUGUUAGAUAAUCACUUGAUAGGAAAGUCAAGCUCUGAAAAGUUUUAUAGUUUCUCAAAGAAAAGAAAGUCAAGAAGAGCAUGAAAUACAUGCAAAGUAAACAUAUUCCAGUCCCACAUUACUAUGGUAAUUCUACAGAAGGUGACUCUCACAUGAACAUAAUUUGCUCAGGCAAGUCUUCAUUUAUCUAGCUCAACAACACUUGGGGAUUUCAGUUGUUUAAGUCACUGAGUGUUAUAAAUUCCCUUUAAUCUUUAUUUAGAAUAAGUCUUUCCCAUUACUUGUUGUGUUUUCAUAAAUUACCUAAAUGUGUUGCUUUGAACGCAUAGGAAAAGGGAGGGAAGCCAUUUUACCACUUUCCUCUCUUCAUAAUUGACCUGCUUUAUUGUUUCUGGGAGACUGAGGCUCUUGAAACAUUCCCAGAUUAUUCAGGAUAUAAAGAUAAGGAUGACCCGACUGAGGGCAAUCCUCCCUCCACUCUGAGUACAAUGAGGUAGGCAGGCAGUGACUGUACCUCCAAUCUCUGGAACUCCAUUGGUUUGGAGAAUUAACUCUAGAGAAUGAGAAGUCUCACUUGAAGUUAAAUUAUAAUGAGAAGAUCCAUCGAGGAGAAAAAUUUGGGUAUUCUGGACAUGUACUUGGAAGCCAGAAGAAAGUGUGACAAAUUUGACUGUGGAUGACAGAAUUUUGACUUUGGAUCAAUUGAGCUAUUGCCUCUGGAGCUUCUUUAGAAAGAAUGAGAUCUUUCCUAAGACUCAGCUAAGAAUGAUAGCUUACCUAUCAAAAUUCAUCUAAAAAUCCAAGUUUAAGUGUUAAGAUGGGUUUAAUGGAACCCAGGACUAAGUUUAUAUAACUGUAAUUUUUUCCUUCUGCUUAUAGCUUCAUUAUGGCUGUAGUUUCUCGGAGGAUAUGGGUCUAAGGAAGGUAAAUGCUAGCAGGUACUGCCAAGCUUUUCAGCGAAGUUCAUAAACAAAGAGUUAUCCAUUGAAUGACAAUAUUAUUUUCAAUCACAGUAAUUCCUGAAGACAGUCUAUUAUGACAUAGGUGGAGGGUUAAGAUCUGCAUCAGUGGAGAGGAAUUCCAACCAUGAUGAAACCAUGAAUUCCUGAAGUAUUAGCAUAAAUUGACUGACCUUAACUACUUUGUGCUGAAGUAGCAUUUGUAAUAGAAAUGACUGACAGAGAGGAGUGGGAUAGGUUAAUAAGGGCCAGCAGAGGAGUGUAUGACCACGCCAAAAUUUCAACAAAACCAUCUAAAAAAGAAAAGAUUGAUUCUUUUUUUUUUGUGGGAAUAGUGGGAUUAACCAAGGGCAAAUGUGCAGAGCUCUGGGUUUGAGAAUGUCCCAUGUUUUUUUGUCAUCUUGCCCACUUCUCAAAUAGAUAAAUCAAAAGAAAGAUAUUACUCCUUGAAUACCAAUAGGAAUGAACUGAUAGUACAGCCAUACCAAGAUAUGCCAUAUCUUUGGUGAUUAAAUACAAUUUAAAACAGCACUAAGCUUUUUGGGACACCCUGUAUUAGCCUUUAGUUUUUGUGCUUUUUUGAAGUAGUUUAGAGUAAAAUGAAAAAGUGUCCGAAGGGAAAAGAAAGGACUCUCUAGCUUGUGGCAUGGUAUUAUAUAUGUGUAUAUGUGUGCUUAUCCAACUCUAACUAUU